AUGGUGGCUCGCAGGUUCGUAGUCCGGGAGGUCCCCGCCGACGAGGAGCACACGGUCGAGUACGACACGGAGGACGGACUCGACGUCCUCCGGUUUCAGAUCUUCUCGCUCACCUCCGUCCCGCCCGACCUCCAGAAGAUCGUAGUGGAAGCGGAUGGCUCCGUGGUCAACGACGGCACCGACCUCGAGUCAAUUCCCGAGGGCCUGUGCCUCAUGUCCAUUGACGAGGGGGAGAACGCGGACUCGGCUUCGGCGGCGGCGACGGCGCAGGAGAAGUCCGAUGAGGAACUGGCGAGGUUGAUUGAGAUCGAGGUGGAUGCGGAUGGCUCCGUGGUCGACGACGGCACCGACCUCGAGUCCAUUUCUGAGGUCCUCCGCCUCGUCCCCAUCGGCGAGGGGGAUGACAUGGACGCAGCGGCGGCUGUAGCUGCGAGGGCGCAGGAGAAGUCCGACGAGGAGCUCGCGAGGAUGAUUCAGGCGGAAGAAGAGGCACUUCUACUGCAACAGUACAGCAUACAAAGUGACGGAGGAGAGGUUUUCAGAGAAAGAGUUGAGCCAUACAUGCGCCAGGUUCUGAAGUACGAGGAUCCGGUGCGUCAGGAAGCAGCUCUGAAGACGGUUCCUGUAGAUGAACUUAAGGAGAAGGCGCUGAUUUCACUGGCCAAGGAAGGGAUCUUCAGUUCUUCGAAAAAUGAAGAGGAUCAUGCCUUUCUGUUGCAAUUGCUUCUCUGGUUUAAGCAAUCAUUCAGAUGGGUUAAUGCACCAGCUUGUGACAUCUGUGACCGUGAAACAUCUAUGGUUGGAAUGGGAAACCCACUUCCCUCAGAAAUUGAAUUCGGUGCCUCCCGUGUCGAGAUCUAUAGGUGCAACCAUUGUUCGAGCAUCACCUGUUUCCCAAGGUACAAUGAUCCGUAUAAGCUUAUACAAACUAGGAAAGGACGCUGUGGAGAAUGGGCGAAUUGCUUCACAUUCUACUGUCGAGUUUUUGGAUAUGAAGCUCGUUUGAUUCUGGAUUUCACUGAUCAUGUUUGGACAGAAUGUUUUUCAAACCUCUAUGGGAGUUCUGGAAUGUUCAGAUGGAUUCACUUAGAUCCAUGCGAAGGAGUCUAUGAUAAUCCCUUGCUGUAUGAGAAAGGGUGGAACAAGAAAUUAGAUUAUGCAAUUGGUAUCUCAAAAGAUGGAGUACAUGAUAUAACAAAACGCUACACCAGAAAGUGGCAUGAGGUUCUCUCUAGGCGGACCAUUACCUCCGAGGAUACAGUUUCAGCUAUUCUGAUGAAUAUAACUAGAAAGUGUCGCAGUGGAUUGUCAAGUAAUGAACACUUAGCCUUAGAAAAACGUGACAGGAAAGAGUCCGAGGAACUUAGUAAAGCUACCUAUCUUGAAGUUAACAACAGCAUAUCUCUACCUGGAAGGCAAAGUGGUUCUGUGGAAUGGAGAGCAGCAAGGUCAGAAUUGGGCCAAGCAGACUCACUCAGUUGCUCGUCGUGUCCUAUUCGGAGAUGUGUGGAUGCUCAUGUUUCAAAAAUACAUGAUGCUCUUUCAGCUAUUCUUUCUCAUUUUUGUGAUAAUAACAUCCCUAAUGAAAGAAUCAUUGAAGUUUUUGUCACAUUGAGGAGCUUGAUGCAAAAUCUUAAAGAUGCUAACUUCAAAAGCAGGAGAGUCACAUUAGAUCAAAAAUCACAGCAAAUUUUUGAGAUACUUCCCUCUGCGGAAAGAUUGCUUUCUGCUAUUUCUUUAAAAGCAGAGUUACACACUGUUGGAGAUCCAUCCGUGGCUACAGAUGGAAAUCUAAUACAUACAUCCUUAGCAUUACCAGUAGCACUAGAUGCAGUUGAUGAGAUACUAAGUAACUAUAAGAGCAAUAUCUUUUACACAAAAGGUCAUCAAUUCCCAAGAGGCAAUAGACUCUGUUCAGGUUCAGUCCUUGCAAGCAGUGAGCAGCUCCCAAUUGGAAUUGCAACAGCAGCCUUUGACGGCAUUCGCUUGUCCAAAUGGGAAGAACCUGAUGGAGCCAAAGGAUGUUGGCUAAUGUACAAGGUGCAUGGUGGCCAAACUUGCGAGUUGGAGUCAUAUGAUUUGAUGUCAGCUAAUGAUGCUCCCGAGAGGGAUCCAAUGGGCUGGGUCCUUGAAGGGAGCACAGACCAAAGGUCUACCUGGAAUACUAUUGAUGCUCGGAGUUCUGUAAUCUUUGGCAGCCGUUUCUGUAGGAAAUCAUUUACUGUUGACAAGAGAUACAAAGCAAAUGUACUUCGGUUUCGGUUUCUACGUGGGAGAGAAUCUAGUGCCAAUCCAAGGUUUCAAAUAGGAUCCAUCGACUUCUACGGGGAAACACACAUGGCCUGA
rnacentral:rRNA from 1 species